UGCAAUAGACUAUCGCUAUCGUAAUAGUAUGUUGCAAUAGACUAUAGCUAUCGCAAUAGUUGCUUCUCCCUCAACAGCCACCCCCUUAUUGAUUGUGU